UUUGACUUUAAUUAGCUCAAUCUGGAAUCAAUUUUAAAUCUGAUUCGAAACAAGGAGCUAGUUUUUUGCAACAUAUGCUAGCAUGUCAAUUUUGCAAACAUGAUCUAAUCCAAUUAGACCCCUGAUCAAUACCCUUUGUGUGUGACCCAUUGGGUUCCAUAUCUAGCCAGCAAUAGGUCUGAGUUCAAGUCGAUUUGAUUUGAUUAGAAUUUAAUCUAACCAAUCU
rnacentral:lncRNA from 1 species